rnacentral:rRNA from 1 species
CAAUAGCGUAUAUUAAAGUUGUUGCAGUUAAAAAGCUCGUAGUUGGAUUUCUGAUCGAGACAUCAGGUCGGGUCCGAGAGGAUCAUGUACUUUGAUUUUGUUUUGAUCAUCCUUGGGGAGAGCAUUUCUGGCAUUCAGUUGUCGGGAUUGGGAUCCUCAUCGUUUACUGUGAAAAAAUUAGAGUGUUCAAAGCAGGCCUCGGCCUCUGAAUACAUUAGCAUGGAAUAAUAAGAUAGGACUUUGGUGGUCUAUUUUGUUGGUUUGCACGCCAAAGUAAUGAUCAAUAGGGAUAGUUGGGGGUAUUCGUAUUCAAUUGUCAGAGGUGAAAUUCUUGGAUUUAUGGAAGACGAACUACUGCGAAAGCAUUUACCAAGGAUGUUUUCAUUAA